rnacentral:rRNA from 1 species
GAGAAAGCAGGGGACCUUAGGGCCUUGCGCUAUCAGAUGAGCCUAGGUCGGAUUAGCUAGUUGGUGAGGUAAUGGCUCACCAAGGCGACGAUCCGUAACUGGUCUGAGAGGAUGAUCAGUCACACUGGAACUGAGACACGGUCCAGACUCCUACGGGAGGCAGCAGUGGGGAAUAUUGGACAAUGGGCGAAAGCCUGAUCCAGCCAUGCCGCGUGUGUGAAGAAGGUCUUCGGAUUGUAAAGCACUUUAAGUUGGGAGGAAGGGCAGUAAGUUAAUACCUUGCU